AUUUAAAGAAGCUGGAUGUAGAUCGCUGAUGGAUAGAGUUUCAGAACACUCUGUACAAUGAAAAUCCAGGUUUUUCAUCUUUCGUCCACUCUUCAGACCACAGUCUUCUUCUUGUUGGUGCUACUGGUUCAUCCUCCCAGAAGUCUAAUGCUGCCACACCAACCAAUGGUUUACCUGCCUAGGCUGUACAACCCUGAAUGGGAAGCAGCAAUGCUCCGGCUUCAGGCUUCACUAGGGGCUCCAGGUGGCAGACCAGUGGCCGAUCUCCAGCCCUGGGCUUUGUUUCAGGACCUGGGAUCUGAGGAGCUUUUGGAUAGAGUAAAUGAAAUACUAGAAAGGCAACAGAGGGACAUAGUAAAGGGCCAGAAAAGAGAGGAGUUGGAACGGAGACCCAUGGGGACAUUCCCAGACAACCAUAUAAUGCCUUUGCUCUACCCACAGGGCGGUGAGGCUGAAGAAGUAGGUGGAGAGAAACGGAAUGAGGCACUCACUUCCAUUGCAGGAGGUUUGCAAGCCUUCAACAGACAGAAA
rnacentral:lncRNA from 1 species